AUUGAACGCUGGCGGCAGGCCUAACACAUGCAAGUCGAGCGGAGUGGCGGACGGGUGCGUCAUGCCUAGGAAUCUGCCUGGUAGUGGGGGAUAACGUCCGGAAACGGGCGCUAAUACCGCAUACUCUCAGAUGAACCUGGGCCGGUGUAGCUAUAUGGUGGGGUAAAGGCCUACCAAGGCGACGAUCCGUAUCUGGUUCGAGAGGAUGAUCAGUCACACUGGAACUGAGACACGGUCCAGACUCCUACGGGAGGCAGCAGUGGGGAAUAUUGGACAAUGGGCGAAAGCCUGAUCCAGCCAUGCCGCGUGUGUGAAGAAGGUCUUCGGAUUGUAAAGCACUUUAAGUUGGGAGGCGUUACCAACAGAAUAAGCACCGGCUAACUUCGUGCCAGCAGCCGCGGUAAUUC
rnacentral:rRNA from 1 species